rnacentral:snoRNA from 1 species
AAGUUUCUAGAGAUGCAAGAAAAAAGUGUCCUUGUGCUUUCUGCCUGUUUGAUUGUGGCAGCCCAGAUUGAAUGGGGAAGUACGAGA